AUAGCUCUGGGAAGCAAUCUUUGAGGAUUUGGGGGGUGAACACGCUGUUUGCCUGCAUAUUCCUUAGUGUCAGCAUAAUGGGGCAAAUGCUCACUAUAUCUAAGAAGCCACGCUCCAGCCUUCCCCUUGCCAUGCUGUGUGCGCAAACCCACACUCCUGUUCCUGGAUCGGAUUGAGUACUAUGGACUGAUGGAGACUUAGCGAUGGGAGGCACCUCACACCUGUGCUGUCCGGUGAAGCAAGUAUUGGGCUCAUCAAACUAUCAGGACUCAGAGGCUGGGAUCAUAGGAAGCCUCAGACGAGGAAGCCAGAGCUCAGAAUGCAGGAGCGACUGGGCCGAGGUCUCUCUGGGUGUUGAUAGCAGAGACAGGAGCCCCUGCAGUUUCUUCACUCCCACAACCAAAGAAUCAUCCAGAGAAAAAGGCUGUUCUAAAUUGGCGUCUGCCCUCGGUAAUGCCUGCUGUAAAUGCAUCCUGACCGUGGCACCCCCUCCUUCUCCUUCACCGGUUUUUAGGGAAAGAAUGGGAGCAAGGAACCCACUCAAAGCCAAGGGCUCAGCGUUUUCCCAUGUCCCUCAGCCAGAGGUCCUUGCUCCAGCGUGAUCACCAGGCAGAGCUCCCGUCCUCUCCCCUGGCCUCCGGGGCCCAGGCACUGGCCUGGAGAAGCCGGAGGCCAGCCCCAGGCCUUGAGGAGCCAGCAGGCUGCACUGGGCAGCCGGGGGAGCAGCCUCUAAAUCAUUCCCGCAGGUGGGAGGGGCCGAGAGGGGAUUUUCAUAGAUUAUAUUGAAAGAAUUACAAUGGCGAGGGAAGGCAGCCGAGUUCCCACAGAGCGUCCGGUCACUCCUGAGGGGGGCUGGGGAGCUGGGCCCGGCGGCCUCUUUCUCUCUGGGCAGCAGCACACACAGUUUUUAAUAAUUAAGUAACUUUAAUUGUCCUGGGAAAGCCGAGCUCGCCUUGGGGCACGCUGCACAAACUCAUAAUUAAUGUUACCAAGAGAGAUUAGCAAAGGAGAACUGAGAAAUGAUUCACUUUUUAAAAAGCGCCUCACUGUUAAGCCUUAUUAUCCUAAGUUUAGAACCUCAUUUAUCUGCUUUGGGAGGGGGACGGGGGGAAGACCCGAGACCCAGAAACGAAUGCCUGUGAAAUUAAAACUCCAUGCCUUUGUAAUGUGGUUUAAAAACAUCAGAUGGGAAAAUGUUGCCAUUUAGUGAUUCCAUUCUGGCAAGUGAGGGAGAA